CCAAUAGCGUAUAUUAAAGUUGUUGCAGUUAAAAAGCUCGUAGUUGAAUUUCGGGGUCAGUAGGUCGGUCGUGCCACUGGUAUGAACUGGUCUCACUGAUUCCUCCUUCUUGAAGAACCGUAAUGUCAUUAACUUGGUGUUGCGGGGAAACAGGACUGUUACCUUGAAAAAAUUAGAGUGUUUAAAGCAGGCCAGCGCCUGAAUACAUUAGCAUGGAAUAAUGAAAUAGGACGUUCGAUCCUAUUUUGUUGGUUUCUAGGAUUGACGUAAUGAUUAAUAGGGAUAGUUGGGGGCAUUAGUAUUCAAUUGUCAGAGGUGAAAUUCUUGGAUUUAUUGAAGACUAACUACUGCGAAAGCAUUUGCCAAGGAUGUUUUCAUUAAUCAAGAACGAAAGUUAGGGGAUCGAAGACGAUCAGAUACCGUCGUAGUCUUAACCAUAAACUAUGCCGACUAGGGAUCGGAUGAUGUUAAUUUUAUAAUGACUCAUUCGGCGCCUUACG
rnacentral:rRNA from 1 species